rnacentral:rRNA from 1 species
AGAGUUUGAUCCUGGCUCAGGAUGAACGCUAGCUACAGGCUUAACACAUGCAAGUCGAGGGGCAGCAUGAACUUAGCUUGCUAAGUUUGAUGGCGACCGGCGCACGGGUGAGUAACACGUAUCCAACCUGCCGAUGACUCGGGGAUAGCCUUUCGAAAGAAAGAUUAAUACCCGAUGGCAUAGUUCUUCCGCAUGGUGGAACUAUUAAAGAAUUUCGGUCAUCGAUGGGGAUGCGUUCCAUUAGGUUGUUGGCGGGGUAACGGCCCACCAAGCCUUCGAUGGAUAGGGGUUCUGAGAGGAAGGUCCCCCACAUUGGAACUGAGACACGGUCCAAACUCCUACGGGAGGCAGCAGUGAGGAAUAUUGGUCAAUGGACGAGAGUCUGAACCAGCCAAGUAGCGUGAAGGAUGACUGCCCUAUGGGUUGUAAACUUCUUUUAUAAAGGAAUAAAGUCGGGUAUGCAUACCCGUUUGCAUGUACUUUAUGAAUAAGGAUCGGCUAACUCCGUGCCAGCAGCCGCGGUAAUACGGAGGAUCCGAGCGUUAUCCGGAUUUAUUGGGUUUAAAGGGAGCGUAGGCGGACGCUUAAGUCAGUUGUGAAAGUUUGCGGCUCAACCGUAAAAUUGCAGUUGAUACUGGGUGUCUUGAGUACAGUAGAGGCAGGCGGAAUUCGUGGUGUAGCGGUGAAAUGCUUAGAUAUCACGAAGAACUCCGAUUGCGAAGGCAGCCUGCUGGACUGUAACUGACGCUGAUGCUCGAAAGUGUGGGUAUCAAACAGGAUUAGAUACCCUGGUAGUCCACACAGUAAACGAUGAAUACUCGCUGUUUGCGAUAUACAGUAAGCGGCCAAGCGAAAGCGUUAAGUAUUCCACCUGGGGAGUACGCCGGCAACGGUGAAACUCAAAGGAAUUGACGGGGGCCC